CAGUUGGGCAGUCCAGCCCCAUGCUGGGUUGGAUGCUGGUGCUGAGCCUGCCCUUCUCCCUGCCACACCCCUGGGCAGCAACGACGGCCAAGGUAAAUCUCAGCCGUUUUUACCAGCCUAAAUGGC